GACGAACGCUGGCGGCGUGCUUAACACAUGCAAGUCGAACGGAAAGGCCCUGCUUGCAGGGUACUCGAGUGGCGAACGGGGGAGUAACACGUGGGUGAUCUGCCCUGCACUUCGGGGUAAGCCUUGGGAACUGGGUCUAAUACCGGAUAGUAGCCAUUUUUAGUGUGAGGGUUGGAAAGUUUUUUUCGGUGUAGGAUGAUCUCGCGGCCUAUCAGCUUGUUGGUGGGGUAAUGGCCUACCAAGGCGGCGGCGGGUAGCCGGCCUGGGGGGGUGGACGGCCACAUUGGGACUUAGGUAAGGCCCAGACUCCUAAGGGAGGGAGGAGGGGGGAAGAUUGACAAAGGGGCGCAAGGCUGAUGCAGCGAGGCCGCGGGGGGGAUGACGGCCUUCGGGUUGUAAAACCCUUUCGGUAGGGACGAAGCUUUUUGUGACGGUACCUAGAGAAGAAGCACCGGCUAACUACGUG
rnacentral:rRNA from 1 species